UCCCAAAUACAGAAACCUAACCCAGUUACCCCUCACCCCAGCGCCGUUUCCCCCUUUCACUCACUCAGCUUCAUCCCUCAACCCUAACAACUGCAGCCUCACCUUCCCUUACGUAACAAACACACACAAUUAAACACACACACAGAGGCGAGCGCGAGCCAAGAUCCACGCCGGAGAGCUGCCGCUGCUGGGUUCUGUCGCCGCCAUCUUGCCCCUGCCAGCGAGCACGAAGAGUGAGAGAGAUUGGGCAGAGAGAGAAGACUCGCGAGGGAGUCACCGCGGGAAGGGGGUUCUCCGCCGCGUCCCGUUGCCUGCGUCGCCGCCAUCCACCCUCCCUACUGACAGUCGCCAUUCGCGAAGAAGAGAGGGAGCUCGCCUUGCCGUCAGGUCUGCCAUCAGAUCCGCCGUCCCUCGCCGUUUCAGUCACCGCCGUCAGUGCCCUGCUGUCGCCGCCGUCGUUGCUGGGAGCUGCACCGCCAUGACCAAACUCCUGCCGCUGAGAACCGCCACUGCUGCCGCCGGGAACGCCACUGCCAUUUCAGUAUCGUCGCUGGAGAUCUAGUUGCCGUCGCCAUCCUCACGAGCUGCCACCACGUCGUUGUUACUGAGUUGCAGCGCCGCUAUUGGCGCACCCUGCUGCUGCUGCGUCUCACCAAGCCGCUGCUAGAGGAAGAAGGCUCGCCAGUCCUACCUCUGCUUCUAGUUUAUGGAGUCUGAGAAGAAGCCACCGCCACUGUUGGAACUAUUGGUUGUGUUGCUCUGUCCUUGCUCUAGAUCCACUCUGAGCCAUUACCAUCACCGUUUGGCUGACGCUGAGACCUUUCACCAUCACUGGAGCUGCCCAGAAUCAUCAUGGUAGCUGCUAAGAGAGUAGAAUGGAUGUUAGAACUGCCAACGGAGCUGCUGGGUUUAGUGAUCGUGAGUUUCGACAUCGAGUGACACAGGUUCGAAGACUCCGUUUGAAGCUGCAGGCGAUCAUAGAUCUUAUUUAUGAGUUAAGUUUAUGACUCGAGUUAUUUUCAUAGAAGUUCCCUCGCUCUUAUUGCUUAACAUUUUUAUUUUAUACAGAGGGAUAAGAUUUGUAUGCGAGUUUUAUUUGAAAUCUUUUGUAUGACAGAUAUUAUUAUUAAUGAUUAUGUGAUUAUUAUUA